rnacentral:rRNA from 1 species
UACGCACGCUGGCGGCGUGCUUAACACAUGCAAGUCGAAUGGAAAGGCCCUGCUUUUGUGGGGUGCUCGAGUGGCGAACGGGUGAGUAACACGUGAGUAACCUGCCCUUGACUUUGGGAUAACUUCAGGAAACUGGGGCUAAUACCGGAUAGGAGCUCCUGCUGCAUGGUGGGGGUUGGAAAGUUUCGGCGGUUGGGGAUGGACUCGCGGCUUAUCAGCUUGUUGGUGGGGUAGUGGCUUACCAAGGCUUUGACGGGUAGCCGGCCUGAGAGGGUGACCGGCCACAUUGGGACUGAGAUACGGCCCAGACUCCUACGGGAGGCAGCAGUGGGGAAUAUUGCACAAUGGGCGGAAGCCUGAUGCAGCAACGCCGCGUGCGGGAUGACGGCCUUCGGGUUGUAAACCGCUUUCGCCUGUGACGAAGCGUGAGUGACGGUAAUGGGUAAAGAAGCACCGGCUAACUACGUG